AGCAGCCGCGGUAAUUCCAGCUCCAAUAGCGUAUAUUAAAGUUGUUGCAGUUAAAAAGCUCGUAGUUGAAUUUCGGGACCAAUUUGUUGGUCGUGCCUCGGUACGUACUGAUAUUAUUGGUUUCUCCCUUCUGAAGAACCAUGAUGCCAUUAAUUUGGUGUCGUGGGGAAUCAGGACUGUUACUUUGAAAAAAUUAGAGUGUUUAAAGCAGGCUUUCGCUUGAAUACAUUAGCAUGGAAUAAUGAAAUAGGACGUUUGAUUCUAUUUUGUUGGUUUCUAGGAUCGACGUAAUGAUUAAUAGGGAUAGUUGGGGGCAUUAGUAUUCAAUUGUCAGAGGUGAAAUUCUUGGAUUUAUUGAAGACUAACUACUGCGAAAGCAUUUGCCGAGGAUGUUUUCAUUAAUCAAGAACGAAAGUUAGGGGAUCGAAGACGAUCAGAUACCGUCGUAGUCUUAACCAUAAACUAUGCCGACUAGGGAUCGGAUGAUGUUAAUUUUUAAUGACUCAUUCGGCGCCUUACG
rnacentral:rRNA from 1 species